GAUGCACGCUGGCUACAGGCUUAACACAUGCAAGUCGAGGGGAAACGACGGGGAAGCUUGCUUCCCCGGGCGUCGACCGGCGCACGGGUGAGUAACGCGUAUCCAACCUGCCUCUGACUGAGGGAUAACCCGUCGAAAGUCGGCCUAAUACCUCAUGGUAUCGUCUGCGGGCAUCCAACGACGAUUAAAGAUUUCAUCGGUCAGGGAUGGGGAUGCGUCUGAUUAGCUUGUUGGCGGGGUAACGGCCCACCAAGGCUACGAUCAGUAGGGGUUCUGAGAGGAAGGUCCCCCACAUUGGAACUGAGACACGGUCCAAACUCCUACGGGAGGCAGCAGUGAGGAAUAUUGGUCAAUGGGCGAGAGCCUGAACCAGCCAAGUAGCGUGCAGGAAGACGGCCCUAUGGGUUGUAAACUGCUUUUAUGCGGGGAUAAAGUGAGGGACGUGUCCCUCAUUGCAGGUACCGCAUGAAUAAGGACCGGCUAAUUCCGUG
rnacentral:rRNA from 1 species